rnacentral:rRNA from 1 species
UGAGGAAUAUUGGUCAAUGGACGCAAGUCUGAACCAGCCAUGCCGCGUGCAGGAUGACGGCUCUAUGAGUUGUAAACUGCUUUUGUACGAGGGUAAACGCAGAUACGUGUAUCUGUCUGAAAGUAUCGUACGAAUAAGGACCGGCUAAUUCCGUGCCAGCAGCCGCGGUAAUACGGAAGGUCCGGGCGUUAUCCGGAUUUAUUGGGUUUAAAGGGAGCGCAGGCCGUCCUUUAAGCGUGCUGUGAAAUGCCGCGGCUCAACCGUGGCACUGCAGCGCGAACUGGAGGACUUGAGUACGCACGAGGUAGGCGGAAUUCGUGGUGUAGCGGUGAAAUGCUUAGAUAUCACGAAGAACUCCGAUUGCGAAGGCAGCUUACCGGAGCGCAACUGACGCUGAGGCUCGAAAGCGCGGGUAUCGAACAGGAUUAGAUACCCUGGUAGUCCGCGCGGUAAACGAUGGAUGCCCGCCGUUGGGUUUUAGAAUUCAGCGGCCAAGCGAAAGCGUUAAGCAUCCCACCUGGGGAGUACGCCGGCAACGGUGAAACUCAAAGGAAUUGACGGGGGCCCGCACAAGCGGAGGAACAUGUGGUUUAAUUCGAUGAUACGCGAGGAACCUUACCCGGGCUUGAAUUGCAGGAGAACGAUCCAGAGAUGGUGAGGCCCUUCGGGGCUCCUGUGAAGGUGCUGCAUGGUUGUCGUCAGCUCGUGCCGUGAGGUGUCGGCUCAAGUGCCAUAACGAGCGCAACCCCUGUCCAUAGUUGCCAUCAGGUCGUGCUGGGCACUCUGUGGAGACUGCUGCCGUAAGGUGUGAGGAAGGUGGGGAUGACGUCAAAUCAGCACGGCCCUUACGUCCGGGGCUACACACGUGUUACAAUGGGGCAUACAGCGAGUUGGAUGUGCGCAAGUACGUCCGGAUCAAUAAAGUGCCUCUCAGUUCGGACUGGGGUCUGCAACCCGACCCCACGAAGCUGGAUUCGCUAGUAAUCGCGCAUCAGCCAUGGCGCGGUGAAUACGUUCCC